GCAUAACGCGAAGAACCUUACCCACCUUUGACAUGUACGGAAUCCUUUAGAGAUAGAGGAGUGCUCGAAAGAGAGCCGUAACACAGGUGCUGCAUGGCUGUCGUCAGCUCGUGUCGUGAGAUGUUGGGUUAAGUCCCGCAACGAGCGCAACCCUUGCCAUUAGUUGCUACGAAAGGGCACUCUAAUGGGACUGCCGGUGACAAACCGGAGGAAGGUGGGGAUGACGUCAAGUCCUCAUGGCCCUUAUAGAUGGGGCUACACACGUCAUACAAUGGCUGGUACAAAGGGUUGCCAACCCGCGAGGUGGAGCUAAUCCCAUAAAACCGAUCGUAGUCCGGAUCGCAGUCUGCAACUCGACUGCGUGAAGUCGGAAUCGCUAGUAAUCGUGAAUCAGAAUGUCACGGUGAAUACGUUCCCGGGUCUUGUACACACCG
rnacentral:rRNA from 1 species